rnacentral:rRNA from 1 species
ACAUGCAAGUCGAACGGCAGCACGGAGCUUGCUCUGGUGGCGAGUGGCGAACGGGUGAGUAAUAUAUCGGAACGUACCCUGGAGUGGGGGAUAACGUAGCGAAAGUUACGCUAAUACCGCAUACGAUCUAAGGAUGAAAGUGGGGGAUCGCAAGACCUCAUGCUCGUGGAGCGGCCGAUAUCUGAUUAGCUAGUUGGUAGGGUAAAAGCCUACCAAGGCAUCGAUCAGUAGCUGGUCUGAGAGGACGACCAGCCACACUGGAACUGAGACACGGUCCAGACUCCUACGGGAGGCAGCAGUGGGGAAUUUUGGACAAUGGGCGAAAGCCUGAUCCAGCAAUGCCGCGUGAGUGAAGAAGGCCUUCGGGUUGUAAAGCUCUUUUGUCAGGGAAGAAACGGUGAGAGCUAAUAUCUCUUGCUAAUGACGGUACCUGAAGAAUAAGCACCGGCUAACUACGUGCCAGCAGCCGCGGUAAUACGUAGGGUGCAAGCGUUAAUCGGAAUUACUGGGCGUAAAGCGUGCGCAGGCGGUUUUGUAAGUCUGAUGUGAAAUCCCCGGGCUCAACCUGGGAAUUGCAUUGGAGACUGCAAGGCUAGAAUCUGGCAGAGGGGGGUAGAAUUCCACGUGUAGCAGUGAAAUGCGUAGAUAUGUGGAGGAACACCGAUGGCGAAGGCAGCCCCCUGGGUCAAGAUUGACGCUCAUGCACGAAAGCGUGGGGAGCAAACAGGAUUAGAUACCCUGGUAGUCCACGCCCUAAACGAUGUCUACUAGUUGUCGGGUCUUAAUUGACUUGGUAACGCAGCUAACGCGUGAAGUAGACCGCCUGGGGAGUACGGUCGCAAGAUUAAAACUCAAAGGAAUUGACGG